AAAUGAAUAGACGGGGGCCCGCACAAGCGGAGGAACAUGUGGUUUAAUUCGAUGAUACGCGAGGAACCUUACCCGGGCUUGAAAGUUAGCGACGGACUUGGAAACAGGUCUUCUCUUCGGAGCGCGAAACUAGGUGCUGCAUGGUUGUCGUCAGCUCGUGCCGUGAGGUGUCGGCUUAAGUGCCAUAACGAGCGCAACCCUUGCCAUUAGUUACCAGCAGUAAGAUGGGGACUCUAAUGGGACUGCCACCGUAAGGUGUGAGGAAGGUGGGGAUGACGUCAAAUCAGCACGGCCCUUACGUCCGGGGCGACACACGUGUUACAAUGGGGAGUACAGAGGGUUGCUACACCGCGAGGUGAUGCUAAUCUCAUAAAACUUUUCUCAGUUCGGAUCGGAGUCUGCAACUCGACUCCGUGAAGCUGGAUUCGCUAGUAAUCGCGCAUCAGCCAUGGCGCGGUGAAUACGUUCCCGGGCCUUGUACACACCGCCCGU
rnacentral:rRNA from 1 species